rnacentral:lncRNA from 1 species
UUUUUUAAUCCAUGUCAUCCAUACUUUCCCCCACUCUCUCUAGAUUUCCUCUCCCCCUGUCUCUACCGUCUUUUUUAUAUCCAAUUUCCGGCAAGUCUUCCAUCAAGGUUUGACACUCAAGCUCAUACAAGUUCAUUUUAUUGUCUCCUUUCAGCAUAAGCUUAAUGUCUAUCAUUGCAUCUCAUUUUGAAAAUUCCAACUACACCAAACAAAGAAAAACACAUAUCAUACAUUCAUCUAUGAACUUUGUAAUUGCUUAUGCAAUAAGCUGCUAAUGAUUUACAAAUGAGAACAAAUAUAAAAUCGUGUCAGAUGCAACGACAACGGUGGCGGCGAUUCUUCGUCGUCGGUCCGUCUGAGUGAGGGCAGAGACGAAGUCGGCAGUGACUUGGGUUGCCGUUCGAUUGAAAGAAGGGAAGAGGGAGACUGAGGACCUAAGGCUCGGUGGUGGCAGCUUUUCGGCCGUGCGUUCACCGAAAAUUGAAGGGGGAUAGGAAGUGGGGUCUGGAAUUGGGGCUUAGGGUUUGGGCGGCGGCAGAGCCGCCAUUCCGACCAGAGCGGGGAGAGGAGAUGGAAGGAUAGAGUGGGAGGCGACGGUCACGGCCUUGCUGCGGUCGUCGGAGACGAGGGAGACGGCGGCAGUACUAUCCGCCAGUGAACAGAGUGAGACAGCGGUGGGGGUACGUGCGUGUUCUGUGAAGGACAGAGAGAGAGAAGGAGAGGGCGAGAGGAGACGACACCGUUGUCGUGGCAUCUGCAGUGGGGGUGGUCGCGGCUUCGCCGGCGGCUGGUGCUGCAGCACUAGAGGGAGGCGACGGCGGUUGGUGAGGAGUAUGUGUUUCUCAUAGAGAGAGAGAGAGAUACAGUAGAGAGAGGGAGACGGUAGAGAUAGGGGAGUGGAAAUGUAGAGAGAGAGAUGAAAAGUAUGGAUGACAUGUAUUAAUAUAAAAUGAUAUGGAUUAAAAAAUAUAUAGAAUUUAAAUUACACCGUGUCAUCCGAUGAGCCACGUCAUAUUUCUGGUGAUCGGAAAAUAAAUGCG